UGGGGAAUAUUGCACAAUGGGGGGAAACCCGUGAUGCAGCGACGCCGCGUGAGUGAAGAAGUAUUUCGGUACGUAAAGCUCUAUCAGCAGGGAAGAAAAUGACGGUACCUGACUAAGAAGCACCGGCUAAAUACGUGCCAGCAGCCGCGGUAAUACGUAUGGUGCAAGCGUUAUCCGGAUUUACUGGGUGUAAAGGGAGUGUAGGUGGCAUGGCAAGCCAGAAGUGAAAGCCCGUGGCUUAACUACGGGACUGCUUUUGGAACUGUUGUGCUGGAGUGCAGGAGGGGUAAGCGGAAUUCCUGGUGUAGCGGUGAAAUGCGUAGAUAUCAGGAGGAACACCGGUGGCGAAGGCGGCUUACUGGACUGUAACUGACACUGAGGCUCGAAAGCGUGGGGAGCAAAC
rnacentral:rRNA from 1 species